ACAACCUGCGACAACGGAUCUCUUGGCUCUGGCGUCGAUGAAGAACGCAGCG
rnacentral:rRNA from 1 species